rnacentral:lncRNA from 1 species
UCCUCCUCUCCUCUCCACUCUUCAGCAGCCUCCAAGUCCAAGUAAGUCUCUUCCACUUGAAAAUUGCUCCCCUUAAUAACAUGUAAUCGAUUUGAGAUUUUAUUAUCUGUAGUCCCAUGAAAUUUUAACCCCACUCGCGUACAGCCCUAUCCCUCGCAUACUCAAAAUGUGGUUAGAUUCUCCUAAAAUACCAUUAUCACAAUAUGGCAAUUUGGAAUUCCAUAGAAGUGAAGUUGAUGAUCUAUUUAAUUGUAGAAGUUUGUGGAUGACCUUUGAUUUCGAUGGACAUAUUGGAAAUAGUUUGUCGAAUUUGAAGAAAAUGAGAUAAAACACCCCUCAUUUAUUAUUAUUAUUAUUAUUAUUAUUAUUAUUAUUAUUAUUAUUAUUAUGAUUAAACCGUAAUUCCCGUCUCCCUCUUCAAUUCCAGGCUUGCAUUGAUAGAUUAAACCCCAAUUCCCCUUCUCCCUCGUCUGCAUCUUCAAUUCCAGAGUUUGCAUCUUCAAUUCCAGAGUGGGGCACAACAGCAGAUUCAAGAAAAAGGUAUUUGUAGAAGAUGAUUUCACCUUACAUUUCUUUUUAUGGUGAAGAUAUUGAAUGAACUUUGUUGGUGUGAUUACUGAAAUCCAUGUUUAUGCGUAAAAUUGCUGAAAUCACGCCUGAAAGUUUGAAAGUGUUGCCGAAAUCAUGUUUAUUUGAAUAUGCCUGCAUUUCCCGAUUUCUGCAUUCUCGCAUAGACUCAGCGCCGUCUUGCUUCGUCUCAGCUCCUCCGCGCAUCGAGGCGGCCGCCUUUCGCCGACGAGGCGCGUGUACAAAAAAAUCGUACAGAGGCGCACAUAUUGGUGUGCUUCAGCGUCUCCUUUCCUUGAGGCGCGCCUAAAGGCAUCUGCCUCCAGCGAUUUUCACAACAUUGGAUUGUUCAUGUUUUAUUUUUAGGUGGGACUCAAUUUUCUUGCAGAUUAGUAAUACCCUAAACAUGUUUGAUUAUAUGCCUAAAAGACUUUUGUCCUUCCCCAAUUCUUGAACAUUGCGUUCCUGCUUUAGCAUUUCAAUACAUCAUCAAUCUGCGAUACCCCUGUUUGAAUUUAUGGUGUUAGCAGUUAAGUUGUGCUUCAAUUGUUCAUUUACAGGGAAAGAUGAAAAAAGGGAUUCACCCUCAAAUGCAAUGGAUAUCGUACGUGACCCAAAGUGGUCGUCUGAUGACUGUGAUGAUGACCAAGAUUCAUGAGACUGGUAAAGUUUAUCAUUUGCGAGCAAAGCGGC